GAUGAACGCUGGCGGCGUGCCUAACACAUGCAAGUCGAACGAAGCACUUUAGCUUGAUUCUUCGGAUGAAGGCUAUUGUGACUGAGUGGCGGACGGGUGAGUAACGCGUGGGUAAUCUGCCUCAUACAGGGGGAUAACUGUUAGAAAUGACUGCUAAUACCGCAUAAGUCCACAGAGUCGCAUGCAUCAGUUGGAAAAACUCGGAUGGUAUGAGAUGGAGCCGCGUCUGAUUAGGUAGCUGGGUGGGUAACGGGCUACCAAGCCGACGAAAAGUAGGCGACCUGGAAGGGUGACCGGCCACAUUGGAACUGAGACACGGCCCAAACUGCUACGGGAGGCAGCAGUGGGGAAUAUUGCACAAUGGGGGAAACCCUGAUGCAGCGACGCCGCGUGAGCGAAGAAGUAUUUCGGUAUGUAAAGCUCUAUCAGCAGGGAAGAAAAUGUCAGUACCUGACUAAGAAGCGCCGGCUAAAUACGUGCCAGCAGCCGCCGUAA
rnacentral:rRNA from 1 species